AAGUCGUAACAAGGUUUCCGUAGGUGAACCUGCGGAAGGAUCAUUAAAAGAAUCUGCCUCACCCACAGAUAUCUUAUCACGUGUGAACUGUCUAGCUUGUCACCUGAGAUGGACACCUCAGAGAUCUCGGUCUUUGGGGGGUCUGUCUUGGGGGUCAGCUUAUGCUACUGAUUGUGCCCCGAGAAUCUUUAAAAGACUAUAAAACUUUUAGCAAUGGAUCUCUAGGCUCCU
rnacentral:misc_RNA from 1 species